rnacentral:rRNA from 1 species
UGCCUAGGAAUCUGCCUGGUAGUGGGGGAUAACGUUCGGAAACGGACGCUAAUACCGCAUACGUCCUACGGGAGAAAGCAGGGGACCUUCGGGCCUUGCGCUAUCAGAUGAGCCUAGGUCGGAUUAGCUAGUUGGUGGGGUAAUGGCUCACCAAGGCGACGAUCCGUAACUGGUCUGAGAGGAUGAUCAGUCACACUGGAACUGAGACACGGUCCAGACUCCUACGGGAGGCAGCAGUGGGGAAUAUUGGACAAUGGGCGAAAGCCUGAUCCAGCCAUGCCGCGUGUGUGAAGAAGGUCUUCGGAUUGUAAAGCACUUUAAGUUGGGAGGAAGGGUUGUAGAUUAAUACUCUGCAAUUUUGACGUUACCGACAGAAUAAGCACCGGCUAACUCUGUGCCAGCAGCCGCGGUAAUACAGAGGGUGCAAGCGUUAAUCGGAAUUACUGGGCGUAAAGCGCGCGUAGGUGGUUAGUUAAGUUGGAUGUGAAAUCCCCGGGCUCAACCUGGGAACUGCAUUCAAAACUGACUGACUAGAGUAUGGUAGAGGGUGGUGGAAUUUCCUGUGUAGCGGUGAAAUGCGUAGAUAUAGGAAGGAACACCAGUGGCGAAGGCGACCACCUGGACUGAUACUGACACUGAGGUGCGAAAGCGUGGGGAGCAAACAGGAUUAGAUACCCUGGUAGUCCACGCCGUAAACGAUGUCAACUAGCCGUUGGGAGCCUUGAGCUCUUAGUG